rnacentral:misc_RNA from 1 species
GAUGAAGAACGCAGUGAAAUGCGAUAAGUAAUGUGAAUUGCAGAAUUCAGUGAAUCAUCGAAUCUUUGAACGCACAUUGCGCCCCUUGGUAUUCCGAGGGGCAUGCCUAUUCGAGCGUCAUUAUCACCCCUCAAGCCUAGCUUGGUGUUGGGGCUUGCUGUAAAGGCAGCCUCUAAAAUCAGUGGCAGUGCUGUCAGGCUCUAAGCGUAGUAAAUUCAUCGCUAUAGGGUCCUGGUGGAUACUCGUCAAAAACCCCCAUUUUUAAUGAUUGACCUCGGAUUAGGUAGGGAUACCCGCUGAACUUAAGCAUAUCAAUAAGCGGAGGA